rnacentral:lncRNA from 1 species
UGGGAAAAUGACUCGCUACACACUACCAGGCUAGCUGGUUAGGUAUUAAACUAGGUAAGUUUGAACAUUUUUUAUGUAUGAAAAUCUUUCAACACUUUUCCCAUAGGUGUGAUUCAGCAAAUAACCACAUGCUUUGUCAGCUAAGACCUUGCAAAGUCAGCUUCAGGAUUGGGAUUGGCUUUUGGGUAAUAUAAUGGUGAUUGGUAUGAUUAAGUUCAGAACUUUCAAGUUAUGUACCACCCAGUGAUUGAAAGAGGCGCUCGGGCGCUCGCCUAGGCGCUUGGGCGAGGCGAGGCGAGGCCCGAGCGCCUCGCUAAUGUCCCAGGCGGCGCGCUUCAAACAGGCGCCGCCUGGGCGCUCGCCCGAGCCCAGGCGCCGCCUGGGCGCUCGCCCGAGCCCAGGCGUUGGGUGCUUCGGUCGAGCGCCUAGGUAAACCAAGUGACCGAACCAGGAUUUUAGGUCUGGGUCGGUCCUGGUUCGGUUGUUAGUUGGUUCAAUCGAACCAACUAAACCGAUAUAACCCUUACCCAACCCUAACCCUUACCAACCCUAACCCGCUACCGCUGCCGCUCCCGAUCUCGCUGCUCGUCGCUCCUGCUCGCGCCUCCAGCUGCUCGUGCCUCCCGCGAGCCCUCCCGCUGCUCGCGCCUCCCGCGAGCUUUCCCUCUGCUCGCGACUCCCGCGAGCCCUCCCGCGAGCCUUCCCUCUGCUCGCGACUCCCUGCUUGCGCCUCCCGCGAGCCCUCCCAGCUGCUCGCGCCUCCUGCAAGCCCUCCCACUGCUCGCGACUCCCGCGAGCCCUCCCGCGAGCCUUCCCUCUGCUCGCGACUAGAAUUUUUAUUUAAAAGAUCAUAUUUUUAUUUAAAAUUUUAAAUAAUUAUAUUUAUUAAUUAUAUUAUAUAUUUUUACAUUUUAGCGCCUCGCUUCGCUCGGGUGAGCGCCUCGGGCGUUUUUGGACCUUGGGGCCUAGCGCUUUUUAAAUCACUGGUACCACCAUCAUUUUCUGAUCCAGUUAAACACAUGGCUAACGACAUAACAAUUCAACACAGCGAUUGGUAUGAUUAAGUUCAGAACUUUCAUGUUAUGUACUACCAUCAUUUUCUGAUCCAGUUAAACACAUGGCUAACUACUUAACAAAUCAACACUACUUUAGCUAAUGUUAAUAUCAGCCUGAGUAAGCAAUUUAACGAGUAGCAUGAACGAAAUGGAAAACCAACCAAACCAGAACUUUCAAGUUAUGUACCACCAUCAUUGUCUGAUCCAGUUAAACACACAGCUAACUGCUUAACAAUUCAACACUACUUUAACUAAUGUUAUUAUCAGCCUGAGUAAGCAAUUUAAUGAGUAGUAUGAACGAAAUAGCAAACCAACCAACCCCAUUGCUCAUAUAUCACUGACCAAUAUAAGAAGUGAAUGUCAUCCUUGUACCAGAACCAUGACCCAAAAUGUACCAUGUUUUAGGUACUAAUAUAGAUAGCAAAGAUUGAAAUAUCGUACCGUACUGGAGUUUUGACAUUCGCUCGGUACGGUAUGAUACUGUAUAUCGAGCGAUAUACCGUUCGGUAUACUGUUCGAUAUAUAUAUAUAU